GUAAUGGAAGAUCCCUCAACUUAAAUUCACCUGAUCAGCAUGGGAUUGAAGUUGCAGGCUAUCAUAGCCAAGGUAUUUUCCACAGACAUUUCAGCUUGGAAUUUUAUUUAAAGAAUUUUUUUGUCAAAUUUCAUUUGCAUGGUGCACAGCUCCACUAAUUUGUUUGCAUGUUUUUGUCAGUGCAAGAGGACGCCAGGACGUCACUGAUAUAAUUAACAACACAAUUAUGGGUUUCAUGUUUUGUAUUUUAAAUACAUGUCUAUUCUUAGUAAAAAAAACAAACAAAAAACAAACAAAAAAACACAAGUACAGGUAUUGCUGGGUUUUUGUUUUGUCCCAAGAAGGAAAAAGCCUUUCUGACGAACAUAAACUAAAUUAGAUAAAAAAACUAAAUGACUAAAUUAAUGUAAUUUACUAAAACGACACAUUUAAAGAUUGAACCUGUCAAGCAUGUUGACAAUACCUUUGUGUUGACUGUCAGCACCCAGGAAUGUGCAUUAACAUCAGCUAAUUAUCGCACAUAAUGCUCCAUGUGAUGAUAAUUUGAUAUUUAACAGUUUUUUUUAAUACUGCCAAUUCUCACAGUUUUGUCUUAAUAAAUGGUCACUUAUCUGAUGGUAAUUUUUGGAAUUCUUGCUCAUUUUCAGUCACCAAGCAAUCCUAGCAAUAACAUAACCAGAAAUCUGGUUAUUCAGUGCUUGAUGGUGUACCUUGGGGAGUCCAUUGAUCAACUGAUCAAAGAGUACAGUGAUGCUGAUGAGGAUGGUGUGUCACAAGAUCUUUUCUGAACAGAGGAUGAAAAUCUACAAAAUCAAGGCUGUUGGAUCUGAGGAGGAUGACAUUGGCAUUGUGCUGGAGGGUGUGAGAGUUAUGCCUGCUCUGGGCAAUUUUCCAAGAGCAUGCGCAAUGCUGGUUGGAUUGACAUAUGCAGUCGAUCUUGCCUAUCCCAAAGAGCUAAAAUACACCUUGGAAGUAUUCCAGAAACUUUUCCUUGAACUGGAUUGUGCUAAGCUCUCACCAAAAGUGAACAACCUCAAGAACAAGUUAUUGGCUUAAACGAGGACUCUGAAAGAAUGAAAGGGAAGUAAGCUCACUGAAAACCUUUGGUUUGUCUUUGUUAGAUGCAGCUAUCUUUUCAGUUUUUAAGUUAAUUUCAUCUUAUUCAUAUCUUACCCAAAUGACCUGCAAUGUGUCAGGCUGUAUUUGUGCUCUUCAUUUUAAUUUUGUUUUUUAUUACCUAC
ensembl:lncRNA